AAAGACUUGACGGUACUUCACAACAACCUAGAGGAGCCUGUCUAAUAACCGAUACUCCACGAUUAACCCGACCCACCCUAGCCCAACAGUCUAUAUACCGCCGUCGCCAGCUUACCUUGUGAAAGAAAUAAAGUAAGCAUAAAGGGCUUUUCUCCCCACACGACAGGUCGAGGUGUAACUUAUGGGUGGGUAAAAGAUGGGCUACAUUUUCUGACACAGAACACACGAAUGCACUAUGAAACUAGAAACUGAAGGCGGAUUUAGCAGUAUGGUAAGAAUAGAAUACUUAACUGAAACCAACGCAAUGAAGUGCGUACACACCGCCCGUCAUCCCUG
rnacentral:rRNA from 1 species